rnacentral:rRNA from 1 species
CUUGAUAAUUAUGGUGCGAGAGGAAACACGCGAUCCCAUUCCGAACUCGAAAGUUAAGCCUCGUGACGCUGAUGGUACUAUGCUUUGUUGCAUGGGAGAGUAAGUUUUGUCAAGC